AACCAGGAAGUUCACGCCUCCUUCUUUACCAUGACGCGAAAUAUGUCCAAAGCUCGUUUUGAACCUGGAUCUCCUGCUUAUAAAGCAUACGAUCUAACCACUGCGCCACGGCCGCACAAUAUUUGGCAUAACUUUUUUGUGAAUCAAGAAGCUCGUUUUGAUCAGUUUAGAAAAUUAAAAGGUUUAAAGAAAGAUAAGCGCUAGAAAAAGAAUGAGCUAAAACAAAGUGAAGUUACAUUAUAUUUUUAAAUAUAUUAUUUGAGGUUGAGAGUUUAAGUUCACUUAUUUUAGUUUAAAAGACAUCUUUGUCAGACACUUGUCUCAGAAAGCCAUAGCUAUUUAAAGGCGUCUAAAUUUUAUUACGCCUAAUACAGGUCUUUAAACGUCUUUAAAAAACGCUGAGAAGAGAAAUGUUUUUUUUUUAGUAUUGUUACUCUGUAGAAGUUAUUGAUAUAGCUGUUACUUCAAUGAAGUUUUCAUUCUAUUUAUAAAAUAUUUUAUUUUUUCUUCAAACCUAAUAUUUGUAUAACUUUCUACAGGUAAUACUAAUAUGAAAACAACUUUUAUUGUUUUUUGAUUUAUACUCGGGUAAAAUAUUCGUUUUCUUAUUUUAAUUUAUUGUUAAAACAUAUAUUUUUCCAUUAUUUUAUUUUAUGGUUAUUUUUAAGAGAAGGCAAAGACACCAACAAAAAGCCUGAAAGUUAAUGAUAGUGAAGAGGAGGCAGAUAAUUAUAAAAAUCUUUGCAGCUAAAGACAGUGAAGAAUCGAGUCGAAGUACUGUAGCCAGCUGGGCUACGCUCACUGGAUGAAUUGCAAAUUAAAACUGAUUUAAUAAAAAGACGGCAUAAGAUAUGGCAUUUCAGAAAAGUUUGAAAUAUUAACAUUACCACGUGCCAUACAAGCUGAAGUUUGCUGAAAGUUAUACAAAUGGAGAAGUAUUGGUGCGUUUCUUUCCACAUGUAGAAUUUAAUGCAUAUAGAAAGAGAGAUAAAGGAGGUUUGUGAGAUUAUUUAGAGAACUGAAAAUGUUUAUACUACUUCAAUGUUAAAUGAUAUCUCAAAAAAAGACAAAAAAAAAAAGAUGAAAAAUUAAAUCAAUAGGUCAGAAAAUUUGGCAGAAUAGUUUGUGUCGCAUUUGUGGAAGCGAAAUUGGUCAAAAAACUAGAAAAAAUCAAAAAAAAGUUAAAUGGAUCAAAUGUGAUAUUUGCAUCCUAAUCGAUGGUACCGUAUAAGAUGCAUUGUUUUUAAAAAUGAAACUUUAUUUUGUUGUGAACAUAUUUAUAUAUAAAUGUAA